UACGGAGGAUGCGAGCGUUGUCCGGAUUUAUUGGGUUUAAAGGGUGCGUAGGCGGGCUGUUAAGUCAGCGGUGAAAGUUUGCGGCUCAACCGUAAAUUGCCGUUGAAACUGGCGGUCUUGAGUACAGACGAGGUAGGCGGAAUGUAACGUGUAGCGGUGAAAUGCUUAGAUAUGUUACAGAACUCCGAUUGCGAAGGCAGCCUACCAGGCUGUGACUGACGCUGGGGCACGAAAGCGUGGGUAUCAAACA
rnacentral:rRNA from 1 species